UAAAUACUCCCUCCGUCUGAAAAUACUUGUUGGAGAAAUAGGUAAAAAUGGAUGUAUCUAGAACUAAAAUACGUCUAGAUACAUCCAUUUCUCCGACAAGUAUUUCUGGACGGAGGGAGUAUAUG
rfam:Triticum aestivum genome assembly, contig: Triticum_aestivum_CS42_TGACv1_scaffold_500916_6BL